CCUGUCUCUACUAAAAAUGCAAAAAUUAGCCGGGCAUGAUAGCACGCGCCUUUUAUCCCAGCUACUUGGGAGGCUGAGGCAGGAGAAUCGCUUGAACCAGAAGAUAGAUUGUAGUGAACCAAGAUCCUGCCACUGCACUCCAGCCUGGGCAACAGAGCAAGACUCCAUCUCAAAAACAAACAAAAACUGAUACUUUGUCCGAAAGGUGAUUAAAAAUAACAGUGUGAAACAUCAGAGGUCUCCAUUCCAAGAACUUCAGGUCAGGGGUAGAGUGGAGAGGCCAUAAAUGUAAUUCAGUGGGACCUUCUAGUACAGCAAAGCAUGAAAGCAGUUUUCCUCCACUCUAUUUAUGUGUGAUGACCACAUGCGUUGGCCUCUGCUCUGGUCAGCUGAAACUGCAUGUUGAUUCACUGGGUGAUUUGAGUGGCUAAGAAUGGCACCUCCCUCCUGGGUGCACAGUUCCCAAAGCCUACUCAGAGAAACAACCUUCUGAGCACUAGCUGGGUAACCCUGUUCUAGGAGUUGACAAUCAGUGGUCACCAGCCUAAUCAGAACAUUAACAUGUGGCAUACCAGCUUGCUAAUUAGCCCACUGGUUUGAAUUUUCCAACUCUGAUGUGGAUAAACGUGGUUGAAUCUGAAUGGCCACAAGCUGUACCUCUCAUUAACCACACAGCGCUGUGGUCAGUGAGGAGUUAGGGUGAGAGUAGCUGGAUCACACUGGCAAGACAAUGAGUCAAGACAUCUCAGGUUAUGUAAGGGACUCACGUGGCACUCUGUUAUCCUGUUAUCCAGAGUAUUGGAGAGGAAAGGCCGUAGGAAUUUGAGGAACACUAUGACUUGGGGCCUUUUUUUUUUUUUUUUGGAAAGACAGAAUCUCACUCUUGCACAGGCUGGAAUGCAGUGGCAUGAUCACAACUCACUGCAGCUUCUACCUCCUGGGCUCAAAUGAUCCUCCUAUCUCAGCCUUCUGAGUCGCCGGGACCAUAGGUGCGUACCACCACCACACACACCUGGCUAAUUUUUGGAUUGUUUGUAGAAUUGAGGUCUUGCUAUACUGCCCAGGCUGGUCUUGAACUCCUGGCCUCAGGCAAUCCUCCCAUCUCAGCCUCCCAAAGUGCUGGGAUUACAGACAUGAGCCACUGUGCCCAGCUGGUUUUUAUUUUUUGAAUUGGCAGUGCACACACGUUACAAAAGUGUGAGGCGGCCGUAUACAGCCCACAAUGCUUGACAUAUUUACCCUCUGGCCAGUAGUUUGCAGACCCCUGGUUUAUCAGAAACUCUUCCCAGCAUGCCCAUUACCUGAUCACCCAUUAAUUGCCAUUCUUAGAGGUAACUACUGCCAUCCAUUCUUCUAAUUUGGUUGAGCUUGAAAUAGGAUUUUUGCUGCCUUUGAGCACUGAUGUGACUCUGGCCUUGUGAUUUUAAAUAUAGAUAGUUGAAAUUUGGUGGUCCCAAAACAGAUAUCUUGAAUUAGAAUAUUUAAUUCCAUUUAAAGGGUAGUUAGGUGGUAUUGGGGCACUUGAAUCCCAAACACAAAAAUUGAAAAGAACGUUACAGUGAUUGGCUACAGACCCACUCCUUGAUAUGGCAGAUAAAUUCCUCUAUGGGUUGUGGAACCUUGAAAGUCACUGUUGGCAUUUUACUCCCAAUGUUCAUAUUUCUCCUUACAAAAAGGACAUUCUCGGCCAGCAGCAGAGCCUGUUACCUAAGCGGACAAGGCCAAAGCCACUGCUCUGAAAGGCCAGAGGGAUUGGCCACUACCCAUGGGGACCAUCUUGUUUUCUGACUGGAGUCUUCUGGGCUCGGGGAUUUGCCUCCUCAAUCCUCUCCUGCCUCCCCUGGAUGGGAAAAGUACAGUAUUAGGUGGUUUAAUAAGCACUGGCUUUGACUCACAUCCUCACUUGGCCCACUGGGUCCUGGUGGUCUGCAGCUGUUCUGCCCCUAUGCCUGGGGGAGGUGGGGAGACAGCACAGCCCACCUUAUUCACUAGAGUUAACUCAGGAACCAGAAGCAUGCCUGAGACACUUCUUUCAUACUGGAUCUACACUAGGGGAAUCACAAUCUUGGUGUUAAAUUAGUUCUUCCCACUGUGGUCGGCAAAUUACCCUACCACUCAUUGGCUUGUAGGAGCUGAGAAGAUAAAUGAAAGCCUUUUUUUUUUUUGAGACGGAGUCUCGCACUAUUGCCCGGGGUUGGAGUGCAAUGGCGUGAUACCAGCUCACUGCAACCUCCGCCUCCUGGGUUCACGUUGAUUCUCCUGCCUCAGCCUCCCGAGUAGCUGGGAUUACAGGCAUCCACCACCAUGCCUGGCUAAUUUUUUUGUAUUUUUAGUAGAAACAGGGUUUCACUAUGUUGGCCAGGCUGGUCUUGAACUCCUGACCUCGUGAUCCGCCCGCCUUGGCCUCCCAAAGUGCUGGGAUUACCAGGCAUAAGCCACCGUGCCUGGCCACAAGAAAGCCUCUUUUUACUCACUUAACCUGAAGCCAGAUUUUAGAGAUGAGGUUUCAUUGGUUGUCAGUUUUUUUGUUUUGUUUUGAGACAGGAUCUCGCUCUGUUGACCAGGCUGGAGUGCAGUGGUGCAGUCAUAGCUCACUGCAGCCUCCACCUGCUGGACUCAAAGCAAUCCUGUUUCAGCGUCCCAAGUAGCUGGGCUAUCUGGCCUGGCUAAUUUUUAAAUUCUUUUUGUAGAGACUGGGUUUUACUAUACUAUGUUGCCCAGGCUGGUCUUGAACGCCUGGGCUUAAGCGAUCCUCCUGCCUCGGUCUCCCAAAGUGUUGGGAUUACAGGUGUGAGCCACCAUGCCCAGCUGGGUUAUGUUCUUUAAAGCCAGAUAGCAAACUCACUUUUUAUUCCAUUAGGUUUAUCAAAGCAGACUGCCUUCCAAGAGACGGUAUUUUUUAGUGUUAAGUUGACAAGGGGUUUUGCCUGCUAAGUUUGCCGAGUAAAUCCUCGGACAAGGAUUGUGGGUAGUGGGCAGACCAAGAGUGAGAAAUAUUCUCUUGCCCUAAAUCAGGAGACUACAUUAGAAACAGACAAGAUAGACUCAGGAAAUAAAGGCUAAAAGGUAUGAAGGACAAGGCAGCUUGUAGCUGACUGCAAGCAUUGUGGGGUGAGUCUUUUUUUCAUGUAAUCUCCCUAAAUACCGUCCAAGUCUCCAAGGUCAAACAGAUGCCACCUCCCGCUGCUGGGGCGGGGCCACAUUGAGUAAUAAUCAUUGCUCCCCGUGGUAUGUUAGCACUUCGAUUUCUUUCGCCUAGUGGCGACAGAGCCAAAAUGAAACUGAGUAAGUACAAAACAGCAAAAUAGCAUUGGCCGCAUCCCUCAGGGCCUCACGCACGCACCAGCCACAGCUGGUCUGGCCGCCCUGCCCCAUUCCUUGAGCCACAAAAUGCUGCAGUGAUGCUGGUUUGCAAAGCCCCAGAGCUAGGUCGGGGGAUUCAGCAGCGUCCUCGAGCCCAGCCACCCCCGCCUCCAACCCACCUGGGAGCUCCAUCCUCGGCCCUAUCUCUGAGCACCUCCCCUCCCCAAACGCCCAGACCCCCGGCCAAGGAAGCCUUUUGCUGCCUGCCGUCUCCCCGAGGGGCCUCCUUUGCAUUGGCGAGCCGUUCGUCCCUGGCCCCGGCGUGCACUGGCGCGCCUCUGUCCCCCGGGUUCCUCGACGUAAGACAGGUUUCUAGGACGGUGCAGAGGCCAGGGCGCCCGGACUACGCGG
rnacentral:lncRNA from 1 species